rnacentral:lncRNA from 1 species
AAUGAUCCCUCGACAGGUUCAACUAUGGAAAUUUUGUUAUGACUUUUACUUCCUCUAGAUAGUCAAGUUCGACUGUCUUCUCAGUGCUCCACCAGGGCAGUGGGCUGACCCGGCGGGGCCGAUCCAAGGGCCUCACUAAACCAUCCAAUCAGUAGUAGCGACUGGCAGUGUGUACAAAGGGUAGGGACUUCACGCAAGCCUAUGACCCACACUUACUGGGAAUUCGUCAUUCAUGGGGAAUAAUUGCAAUCCCCGAUCACCAUCACCAAUGGUGUUCAACAGGUUACCCGCGUCUGCCACGUAGGGUAGGCACACGCUGAGCCAGUCACUGUAGCGUGCGUGCAGCCCCAGACAUCUAAGGGCAUCACAGACGUGUUAUUUCUCAAUCUCGGGUGGCUAAAUGCCACUUAUCCCUCUAAGAAGUUGGGGGAUGCUGACCGCUUGGGGGUCGCGUAACUAGUUAGCAUGCCAGAGUCUCCUUCAUUAUCGGAAUUAACCAGACAAAUCACUCCACCAACUAAGGCCAUGCACCACCACCCAUGGAAUCAAGAAAGACCUAUCAAUCUGUCAAUCCUGUCCAUGUCCGGGCCGGGUGAGGU